CGGGUGAAAGGUCUGGAGCCGCCGGGUUUCCCCGUGUCCGCCACCUUCCCCUCUCCGCCCUCCGCGGCCGUUUCCGGGGCCGCUCGCCGGGGCCAUGAAGCCGCGGGUGUGAGUGACGAGCCGCCAGGCCGCCCCCCCCAGCCCCAACCGGAGCCCGAUUUGGAGCCCGAGACCCCGACCCCGCCCCGCCGCGGUUCCCAUCCUGCCAGAAGCCUGCUGAGUAGUUAAUGCGGAAGGUAAAGAGGUUGCGCCUGGAAAGCAAGACCACUGGAAGUUGGAGAAGUUUCUCACUCAUCUCUGAGGGGGAAGAAAGGAUGACCACUGUGGAUGUACUGCCUGAGAGGCCUGAUGUGGUGGAGAUGGAGGACCCCUCCUCGCCCUUCCAGGUGGAGAAGCACUCGUGGGAUGGGCUACGGGACAUCAUUCACAGCAGCAGGAAGUAUUCAGGCAUGAUAGUGAACAAGGCCCCACAUGACUUCCAAUUUGUCCAGAAGACAGAUGAGUCAGGCCCUCACUCUCACCGCCUUUAUUACCUCGGAAUGCCUUAUGGCAGCCGUGAGAAUUCUCUCCUUUACUCAGAAAUUCCCAAAAAGGUACGCAAAGAGGCCCUGCUGCUGUUAUCAUGGAAACAGAUGCUGGAUCAUUUUCAGGCUACCCCGCACCAUGGCAUGUACUCUCGGGAAGAAGAGCUCUUGAGGGAGCGGAAGCGUCUAGGUGUGUUUGGUAUCACCUCCUAUGACUUCCACAGUGAAAGUGGCCUCUUCCUCUUCCAGGCCAGUAAUAGCCUCUUUCAUUGCCGAGAUGGGGGCAAGAAUGGCUUCAUGGUGUCUCCCAUGAAGCCACUAGAAAUCAAAACUCAGUGUUCUGGGCCUCGGAUGGAUCCCAAGAUCUGCCCUGCUGACCCUUGCUUCUUCUCAUUCAUAAAUAACAAUGAUUUGUGGGUGGCGAAUAUUGAGACUGGAGAAGAGAGACGGAUGACGUACUGUCAUAAAGGUUUGUCCAGUGUCCUGGAGGACCCCAAGUCAGCAGGAGUAGCUACCUUUGUCAUCCAGGAAGAAUUUGAUCGAUUUACAGGCUACUGGUGGUGCCCAACAGCUUCCUGGGAAGGGUCUGAAGGUUGUAAGACCCUGCGAAUCUUAUAUGAAGAAGUAGAUGAAUCAGAUGUGGAGAUCAUUCAUGUUCCCUCUCCUGCUCUGGAAGAAAGAAAAACUGAUUCCUAUCGGUAUCCCAGGACAGGCAGCAAGAACCCCAAGAUCGCUUUAAAACUGGCUGAAUUUCAGACAGACAAUCAGGGAAAGAUGGUUUGUGCUCAGGACAAGGAGUUGGUGCAGCCGUUCAACACGCUCUUCCCCACAGCAGAGUACAUCGCCAGGGCCGGAUGGACACGAGAUGGCAAAUAUGCCUGGGCCAUGUUCCUAGACAGGCCUCAGCAGCGGCUCCAACUGGUUCUCCUGCCCCCAGCUCUCUUCAUCCCUGUCCCAGAGAGUGAGGAGCAGCGCCUUGAAUUUGCCAAAGCUGUCCCUGAAAACAUCCAGCCAUAUGUUGUGUAUGAAGAGGUUACAGAUGUAUGGAUAAAUGUUCAUGAUAUUUUCUACCCUUUUCCCCAAUCGGAGGGAGAUGAGAUCUGUUUUCUUCGAGCCAAUGAGUGCAAAACUGGCUUUUGCCACCUGUACAAAGUCACAGCAGUGCUAAAACCAAAUGGCUAUGACUGGACCGAGCCUUUCAUUUCUGGGGAAGAUGACUUUAAAUGCCCCAUCAAAGAAGAGAUUGCCUUGACCAGUGGUGAAUGGGAGGUUUUGGCAAGGCACGGAUCCAAGAUCUGGGUGAAUGAGGAGACAAAGCUGGUGUAUUUCCAGGCCACCAAGGACACCCCCCUGGAGCACCAUCUCUACGUGGUCAGUUACGAGUCUUCGGGUGAGAUUGUGAGACUUACCACGCCGGGCUUCUCACACAGCUGCUCCAUGAGCCAGAACUUCGACAUGUUCAUCAGCCACUACAGCAACGUCAGCACCCCGCCCUGCGUGCAUGUCUACAAGCUCAGCGGUUCUGAUGACGACCCACUCCACAGACAGCCCAAGUUCUGGGCCAGCAUGAUGGAGGCAGCCAGCUGUCCCCCAGAUUAUGUGCCUCCUGAAAUCUUUCACUUCCAUACGCAGUCUGAUGUGGAGCUGUACGGCAUGAUCUACAAACCCCACAAUGUCCAGCCCGGAAAAAAGCAUCCGACGGUGCUCUUUGUAUACGGAGGACCUCAGGUACAACUAGUUAACAACUCUUUCAAAGGCAUUAAAUAUUUGAGGCUCAACACAUUAGCAUCUCUUGGCUACGCUGUGGUGGUGAUCGAUGGCCGAGGCUCUUGUCAGCGAGGACUCCAAUUUGAAGGGGCUCUUAAAAACCAAAUGGGUCAGGUAGAAAUAGAGGACCAGGUGGAAGGUUUACAUUUCGUGGCUGAGAAGUAUGGGUUCAUCGACCUUAAUCGAGUCGCCAUCCACGGCUGGUCUUAUGGGGGUUUCCUGUCCCUCAUGGGGCUGAUUCACAAGCCCCAUGUGUUCAAGCAGUAUUAUGGGGAAGGAGCCCUCUUUCCUCAUUGCCCUCCACUGCUGAUCCACGAACCGCAUCCGGCUUCACAAAACCCAUCAGCAACUUUGUGUUUAAGGCUGAACCCGGGACUCCGGCCUCAGAUGGGCAGAGGUCGCCAUUGCGGGUGCCCCAGUCACGGUGUGGAUGGCCUAUGAUACUGGAUAUACCGAGCGGUACAUGGAUGUCCCAGAGAACAACCAGCAGGGUUAUGAGGCAGGCUCUGUGGCCUUGCAUGUGGAGAAACUGCCUAAUGAGCCAAAUCGCUUGUUGAUCCUCCACGGUUUCCUGGAUGAAAAUGUGCACUUUUUCCACACAAACUUCCUCGUUUCCCAGCUAAUCCGAGCUGGAAAACCCUACCAGCUGCAGAUCUACCCCAAUGAGAGACACAGUAUUCGCUGCCCCGAGUCAGGAGAGCACUACGAAAUCACACUGCUGCACUUUCUACAAGAAUACCUCUGAGCACACGGUCUUGGCCAGACCCAUGGAACACUGACAGCUCACCUCUGACCCCUAAUAGCCUUCUUAUCCAGAGCACAAAUGGCCAACGGCCCACCUCCUGGCUCCCCAUCGCCUGGCCUGAGCAUGGGGAAGGGGCCAAGGAUGCUUGGAAUGGUGCCUCCUCCCUUGACUCACCCCUGUGGAAUUGCUCUCCAUUGCCAGCUGAUGCUUGUCAUUUUUUUUAACGUCCCUCUAUUUCGACUCCCACUUCUUUGAUCCCAGGACUGAAAGACAGUGGCCAGUCUCCACCAAGGCUGUCUUUCUGCAACUUCCUCCUACCUAUUUUAUGGCUCUCUGUUGGAGAAUGGGAUAAAGGGCCCUGAAGUGGCUAGAGUUUGUCCUGGUUAGGUGGGGAUUGGGGAGGAGCACCCAGAGCCGAGAUGAGCGAAUUAGGAAAGCUGCCUUAAGCCAGGAGGCUGUGGCUUCCAGACUGGCCACCAGCUUCUGGUUCCCUGAAAGAAAUGAGCAUAGGAGCAGAUGUCUGGGACCUAGGCACAUGGUCUUUCGCUCCUCCAUACUUUGUUUUCUUUAUGAUUGGAGCUUUCACAUAUGAUUGGGCAGCCUGAGAGAUUUAUCUAGGGCUGUUUGAGGGGGGCAGCCCAACUGCUUGGGACUGUUGGUAUGGCUCAGAGCACACGAUCUUCUCCUGUUCCCCAGAAUGGGCAGAACAGGGCCAGCAGGUAUCUUGGCCUCUGGAUGAGUCAUCCAUCCAGGGGCUGCAGGAGUGUCAUCCAGGAUUUUUUUCCUAGAUGAGAUGAAAUGAGUAUUUAUGUUUCUUGUCCUGUUUCCUCUCUGGUUCUUCUCCAUCAGCCUCCCCCCUCUCCCCCUUCCCCACCGUUCCCUGAGCUUUCAGGCAUGCACUGAAAUAUUUGCUGUGCUUCAGUUCUCUGCAGGUCAGUGACUGUUAUCCCUUGCCAUCUCUCCUGCAAUGCAUCUCUGUUCACCCAGCUCACGUGAAUCACGCGUCCGGGGUUGGGAAGUAGAACCAUCCCACCUCAGGGUAAUCCCUUCCCUUCCCCAUCUUCCUUCCCAGCCAAGAGUUCCGCCAGGGGCGUUAAAGAAAAGUAAACGAACCACAUCUACUUUGCCCGAGUAUUUUAAGUGCGUAUUAUGAAAAGAAAAUAUUUUUGUGGAUUCUUAUUCUUUUAUAAUUAUGAGUGUAAGACGUAGCAACUCAUUAAAAAUAUUACAAAUGGCAGCCUAGCAUCUGAUGGAGUGUUCUUUGAAGCGAAGAUUCAGGUGGGUCUGGCCUCUCAAUGUAACUGGAAGGAGUGGGGUGUAUGUGAGCAGGUUUGGGAGGAUAACCCCAGCUGAGCCCUUGCCAAGCUGGGAGGAAGGAAUGUUGGAAUUGUAGUCAAAGGAACUGGGGCUAAGUUAGAGUAUUUCCUUUGUGACCCUGGAAAAGUCACUUAACAUUCACUCUCCGGGUCUCCAUUAAUGCCUCUCUAGAAUGAGGGGGCUGGACUAAAUGGUGCAAAGGUUCUGUCCAGCCUGAGAACCCAUGAACUAUGAACAGUCAGUGACAGAUGUUGGCUACUGUGGUAGAGAGUGGCCCAUCUCCUGAUGCGGUGUGGAUGGUACUUUUGCAAGGGAACAGAUUCUUCUUGUUAAAGAGGAUGCCACCUGCUCAGAGGUGGCAAGCGUGUGUGAUCUGGAGAAUUUGCUGCCUCCAUCUGUGAACUCUCACUGACCUACUGACCUUCAAACCAACAGUGCCUUUGAUAAAGUUUUCAGAAGGGCAAAUUCUUACUCCCUGUUCCUUGUGCUUCCCACACAUAGGAGUGAACUGGAAGCUAGAGAAUCUCAGAGCUGUAAUCUCAGGCUCUCAUUUUACAGAUGAGAAAAUGGGCUCAGAGAGGGGCUGUCCAGACCACACUGCCAUUAAGUAGCAGAAUCGGGACUUGAACCCGAGUCUUCUGACCCGACAAUGUUGGAAGGCAGGAAUAGUCCUGUGCUAUAGGCUUUUCCUUCUACAGUCAAAGGUACCUGCCCUAUGAACCACAGAACAAAAUGGGCAUGGCUUAACCUGUUAGUACGACAUUUUAUAACAGUAAUUUGCCAUAACUGGGUUUGACUGUAAUUUUCACUUAAUCAUUUGUAACAGCAAUAGAGGCAGUUGUCUUCCAAACAUCAAACAACUUCCAAAGGUGGUCACACACUGAUUCGUUGAUUAGGUUAAACUGUGGGGAAAGGGAAGAGUGCUGGGCCCCAAAUGUUUUGAGACUUGAGUUCUAAUCCUGAUGCUGUCACUCACUACGUAACUGUUUGAGGCAGGAUUCUAAUUCAGUCAUCUUCUAUACCCCUAUGGAGACAACAGCCCAAGACUAUGAACGUUUGGAAAUGCCUGGCCCUGACCUACCAGACUUUCUUCCAGCCCAGCCCCCCAGCCACCAUUGAGGGAAGAAACUGGAAAAAAGGCCCAUCUUCCUCACUGCCACUGAUAGACAUAUAGACAAAGAACCCUGAGAGUGGCAGCACUGCAGUCCACCCAUACCAUGCC